rnacentral:rRNA from 1 species
GCGCACCAGUCGAGAAACUUUACAAUGUGCGAAAGCACGAUAAGGGAACUCUGAGUGCCUCCUAAGGAGGCUGUUCAGGUGUCUAAAAGCACCUGAAGGAAGGGCUAGGUAAGACCGGUGCCAGCCGCCGCGGUAACACCGGCAGCCCAAGUGGUAGCCACGUUUAUUGGGUCUAAAGCGUCCGUAGCCGGCUGGGUAAGUUCCUUGGGAAAUUUGGCUGCUUAACAGUCAAGCUUUCAGGGAAUACUGCCCGGCUUGGGACCGGGAGAGGUCAGAGGUACUCCAGGGGUAGGGGUGAAAUCCAUUAAUCCUUGGGGGACCACCGGUAGCGAAGGCGUCUGACCAGACCGGGUCCGACGGUGAGGGACGAAGGCUAGGGGGCGCGAACCGGAUUAGAUACCCCCGUAGU